rnacentral:rRNA from 1 species
AUGGGCCAACUGUGUGACGGCUUCGGGCUCGACCUCCACCCUUUGUGAACACAACUUGUUGCUUCGGGGGCGACCCUGCCGUUUCGACGGCGAGCGCCCCCGGAGACCAUCAAACACUGCAUCUUUGCGUCGGAGUUUAAGUAAAUUAAACAAAACUUUCAACAACGGAUCUCUUGGUUCUGGCAUCGAUGAAGAACGCAGCGAAAUGCGAUAAGUAAUGUGAAUUGCAGAAUUCAGUGAAUCAUCGAAUCUUUGAACGCACAUUGCGCCCUUUGGUAUUCCGAAGGGCAUGCCUGUUCGAGCGUCAUUUCACCACUCAAGCCUGGCUUGGUAUUGGGCGCCGCGGUCAAUCCGCGCGCCUCAAAGUCUCCGGCUGAGCUGUCCGUCUCUAAGCGUUGUGAUUUCAUUAAUCGCUUCGGAGUGCGGGCGGCCGCGGCCGUUAAAUCUUUCACAAGGUUGACCUCGGAUCAGGUAGGGAUACCCGCUGAACUUAAGCAUAUCAAUAAGUCGGAGGAAU